rnacentral:rRNA from 1 species
GAUGAACGCUGGCGGCGUGCUUAACACAUGCAAGUCGAGCGAAGUGAUUUUAAAGAAACCUUCGGGUGGAAUUAAAAUUGACUUAGCGGCGGACGGGUGAGUAACGCGUGGGUAACCUGCCUCAUACAGGGGGAUAACAGUUAGAAAUGACUGCUAAUACCGCAUAAGCGCACAGUGCUGCAUAGUACAGUGUGAAAAACUCCGGUGGUAUGAGAUGGACCCGCGUCUGAUUAGGUAGUUGGUGAGGUAACGGCCCACCAAGCCGACGAUCAGUAGCCGACCUGAGAGGGUGACCGGCCACAUUGGGACUGAGACACGGCCCAAACUCCUACGGGAGGCAGCAGUGGGGAAUAUUGGACAAUGGGGGGAACCCUGAUCCAGCGACGCCGCGUGACUGAAGAAGUAUUUCGGUAUGUAAAGGUCUAUCAGCAGGGAAGAAAAUGACGGUACCUGACUAAGAAGCCCCGGCUAACUACGUGCCAGCCGCCGCGGUAAGAC